rnacentral:lncRNA from 1 species
UCGGUGAAUUAUAUUUUUCUUGUGUUACCAAUCAAGGAUCCUCUCUUCUCUCGGAAUAUCGAUGUUUCUUUCUGACAUUUCUCAAAAGCGUAUCACAGCCACCUUACAUUUUCCGUGUCAUAUGGAAGGUCUUCUUUGUUAAUUGAGUGAAUAUUUUUCUUGUAGUUUUACCUUUGGUUACUUCUAUGUCUCAUUCUGUUGAUUUACGGUACAAUAAUUAUAUGUAUUAGCGUUAGGUCCUUGCAAAGAAAAGGUCAUCUUUGUGUAAGUGAUUCUACUCAAUAUGUAAUAAUGUUUUUACUACAUGAGAUGGAACUGGGCUUCCGGUUAAUAAGGAAUAUUCUAACAACUGUCUAAUGCAUGCUGAUUUUUAGUAUUAUAUGUUUCCUAUUGGCAGGUUCUUUCUGUUGAGCCACUAACAUAAGCAAAUUAGGUGUGAUUGUUAACAACAACAUUUUAUUUAUCUGUAAAUUGCAGGCACUGGACAGGUUUAAUACAGCAGUUGUGUCACCAAUAUAUUACGUGAUGUUUACUUUGUUAUGCUUGUUCUUGAUAAGAAAAUCAAGCAUUUGGCAUCUAUUGCAAUCUGGAGAUGAUCCAUAUGUGGCCUAAUUUUCUACUACUGAAUCACAAUGCUAUGUUGUGAUUACUGGCAGCAAGAGUCAGCAUGACCGCUCAUUCUGUAUGCUUUAAACUAUUUUAUUGGAGUUUACUAAUUCCAUGUACUGGAAGCAACAGCCUACAAGUUUGAUAUGUGAAAGGUUUAUUAUCUUAUAUCUUGCUUGUGUAGUGUAGGGUGGUUCGGAGGGCACCCGAAGAGAGAUCGUAUCAUAUUUCCUAUCAGUUGUUCUCUGGAUCUUCUCCCCUUCACAUAAGUAACCACACAUUCAUAUGAAGGAAUUCAUAUCUCUUACAUAUCAUUGCAUCUCACACAUAUAUAAUUACUUGAGCCAGGGUUCUUGCUUGAGAAUUGAUGGUGUUGAUGAUGCCAAAGGAUUUUCAUCAUUAUUGGUAAUGUUGCUACAAAUCAACCACAACUUUGAAUAGUAUUGAUAUAUACAGUUCGGCCUCUUCUCUGUAGACUUUAAAGGAUGGAGAAAAAAGAAUGCUCUAUGAUCAGGUAACAAUUUAAGCCCUCUGAUUACACAUGUCUAUGUUUCUUUGACUGCCAAAGGCUAUUUAUUUUUGUAUGUUCAGGAGUUACAAAGAAUUUAUUGCUUGAAACUUAAGAUAAUUAGACAACAAUACAUUUUGACUAAUUGUCUGAUUUUUGUUUGCCUAUACUGUUUGCAAGAGUCAUCAACUUGUCUAUUCUUUUAUUGAAUUCUGCGUAUAACAAAUUAUUAGGAAGACUUCUCAAAACGUGUAAAUGAAUCGAGAUCAGCCAUCUAUCUCCAACACCAUGCACCAAUGCUUGCAACUCACGCAAAUGUACUUUAUCGUGCGCACAUGUAUGACCUUACCGCUGUCGUUGUUAUUCUAUUUUUUCUAAAAAAAACUGAUGUCAUUAGGCUCUAAAUUUGUAGUAACUAAACAUCAAAUACAUACUGUAUCUCAGUUUGCCAAUAUUUUGGUGGUCUCUGCAAUGUUGUUUGCAGGAUUGCCGAUUUUACUUUACAAAGAGUAGCAUUUAAAAAGCGAAUGACAUUUGAUAAAUUGCUGAAAGGUGGUGGUUGCACACUAUGGGGGACAGUGUCCAAGAGAGGGCUCGGAGAUGGUUAGAGGUUAGCUACUGUUCACUAUCUAUCAAUCCUAUCUUCAUGUACCUGUGUGUGUUUGGUACAGUACUUGAUCUCUUAUGAUUUAGGGAGCUCUUCAGAUCUAAGAAGAAAUUGAUGUAAGAUUUAUUUUCAUAUUCUUGGAAACUCAUGCUAUGGAGAAUCAUAAUGAUAUUCUCAUUGUACAGGCGGUGCAAGGUCUAACAUGAUUGUGCUGAUGCUCUCUCCUUUGUAGAGGACCAUCCCGAUGUCUGGGUUUCGGCAUGGUGGUGAGGUGCCUGAGGUCACGGCUCUGAGUCAGGAACCUCUUAUUGAGCGUGCCAGUACUUCAUGGUGGUGACGUAUGUCUCGAUGAUAGUCCAGUUUGAUAAAAUGCCAAUAGGAGCAGGUCUGUGAAGCCAAUAUGAGCCGGUCAGUAAACUAGUGAUGCAGUCUCACUGUUCAUCGUCUCUAGACGCACCUAUAUGAUCCAUGUAUCUAGUUUCUCUCCAAAACUUGUGAUGCCUGCGUUGUGAUGAUCCGAGGAACUCUGCCUCUAUUUUGGAGAUCGCCCAUCUUUUGGAGACCGCUGAACUUUGAUUUGAACCGAUGAAUGUGUCUUUGUGAUCAGUCAUCCACUUUGUAAGAUUGUCAAAUCUCUGUUAAGCUAUCAGCAUAGAUGAAACUACUUGCUUGCUCUGCUUUAUGAAUGAACACUCUUCUACUGCAGUUCUAUUCUCUGUAUUAUAUUUUUAACCAU